AAUUAAAACUUUCAUCUAUUUCUAUGGUUAAAAACUAGUUUGUUUGAUUAAAUAGCCAAACAGUUACAUAUAACAUGCUACGUAUACCUCAUGUCAACGUACAUGGGCCAAAUUUUAAUAGAAAUAGAUGAAAUUUUUAAUA
rfam:Gossypium arboreum cultivar AKA8401 contig_4954_1, whole genome shotgun sequence.